rnacentral:lncRNA from 1 species
ACUGUACUGAUGAGUCCAAAAAUGGACUAAAUAGCAAUUUAUAAU